UAGGGAAUCUUCGGCAAUGGGGGGAACCCUGACCGAGCAACGCCGCGUGAGUGAAGAAGGUUUUCGGAUCGUAAAGCCUUGUUGUUAAGGAAGAACGGGUGUGAGAAGGGAAGUUUCAUGCUGUGACGUUACUUAACCAGAAAGGGACGGCAAACUCCUUGCCAGCAGCCGCGGUAAUAGGUAAGGUCCGAGCGUUGUCCGGAAUCAUUGGGCGUAAAGGGUACGUAGGCGGAUAAGCAAGUUAGAAGUGAAAUCCUAUAGCUCAACUAUAGUAAGCUUUUAAAACUGCUCAUCUUGAGGUAUGGAAGGGAAAGUGGAAUUCCUAGUGUAGCGGUGAAAUGCGCAGAUAUUAGGAGGAAUACCGGUGGCGAAGGCGACUUUCUGGCCAUAUACUGACGCUGAGGUACGAAAGCGUGGGUAGCAAACAGG
rnacentral:rRNA from 1 species